GAGUUUGAUCAUGGCUCAGAUUGAACGCUGGCGGCAUGCCUUACACAUGCAAGUCGAACGGCAGCAUGAUCUAGCUUGCUAGAUUGAUGGCGAGUGGCGAACGGGUGAGUAAUACAUCGGAACGUGCCCUGUAGUGGGGGAUAACUAGUCGAAAGAUUAGCUAAUACCGCAUACGACCUGAGGGUGAAAGUGGGGGACCGCAAGGCCUCAUGCUAUAGGAGCGGCCGAUGUCUGAUUAGCUAGUUGGUGGGGUAAAGGCCCACCAAAGCGACGAUCAGUAGCUGGUCUGAGAGGACGAUCAGCCACACUGGGACUGAGACACGGCCCAGACUCCUACGGGAGGCAGCAGUGGGGAAUUUUGGACAAUGGGCGAAAGCCUGAUCCAGCAAUGCCGCGUGUGUGAAGAAGGCCUCGG
rnacentral:rRNA from 1 species